CAGAGAUCUGCACUUCUCCCAAUGCACUUCCCAGGGUGAGCCAGCUGGUCUUCAGCAGCCACUGAUCAACAGCAUCCACAGACAACCCCAAACUUUGCUGAGGAAUAUCAGCUACUGAGCAUGAGAGGAAUGCACUUUGCAAAACUGCUGAGAAGGUGAAGUUCCUGAUUUUCUCUCAGCACAUUAAACAAAGAUGCUGGAAAGAACAGCACACCAGUUAUACACUGUGAAAUGAAAACUUUCAAAGUUUUAUUCUUGACUGCAGCUGUGUACAGAAAUAUAGUUGCAAGUAUACAAAUGUCCCAAUAGAAGCAAAAUAUCUCUUUAAUAUUCAACAAGUUAUCACAGAAGAGCUAAAAAAACAAAUGCAAAUGAAAUACCCCACCCCAUCCCCUUCAAUACAAUAAAUUGAAAACUGGUUAUCAGUGCUCUGAGAAACCACCGACACAAGCCAGGGACACACAAAACACACAAUGGGUCAAAUUAGAGGCUACAUUCACAUUGCAGGAUCUGGAAGAGGCUGCUCAAUGGCUGCUUGAUCUCUGUCCUGCUCUGGGCAAGCUAAGCGGGAAAGCAGGAGAGAGAGAAAGGGCAGCAGAGGGACACCACCACGAGGCAGAGCCUGGAGCACACGUUUCUGUGGCCCAUGGAGCUUCCCUCGCAAGGGGAUCGGCACCUGGGAAGGUAGGGCAGGGGGAUGCGGGAGGGAAGUGAAAUGCUGGGACCGGCUGAGCAUCUCCAGCCUUUGUCCCAAGAGCCUCCUGCUCCAAAGUGGCUUCAUUCCAACCAAGCUUGGCUCCAACAGCCAGAGCCCCCAGGCCAACAGGACCAAUUAAGAGCAGUCACAAAAGGAACGGCAGCCCUGCCCAAGCAAGCUGCUGCACCGAGGGCAGAGGGGAAGGAAGGACCGGCCUGGCUGUUGCUUCGGGACGGGCGGCCAUCUAGCUGAAAAACCAUUUGGCACUUCGGGAAACCGCCUGCUUGCACUCUAAAUCGGGCUGCUUGAUGUGACUGGGGGCUGUUCCCACCUCUGGGGGACUAUUGAGGGAAACACAAACAGCUGAGUCUGUUUCUAACAGAGAGAAACAUGCAAGAACAGUCUCUGCUGCUGAAGGGGGUUUGGACCCAGGCACCUGCUAGGGCUUCUCCCCUCUUUUUGAGAAAAAAAUUGCUGGGGAAAUAAUUAAGUCCCCACUACCAAAUUUUAGAUCAAUUGUACUCUACUGUUUCCGAUGCAAUGUUAAUGCAAAUUGGAGACACUGUAGAGGUGCUCUUUGGCAAAACCAACCAACCAACAAAAAACUAGAUAUUAUUAUAAAACAAUAAGUGAUUCAAUUGUGUAUGAACUGAAUUAAGUUACAUUUGCUAGGAAGACCACAAUUUAAGCGGUUUUGAUUUGGACAUGAUUCCUGAAACUGUUUUAUGUUCACUUAUGACAGAUGAUUCCUAAACAUGUUUCAGUGACUUCUUCUGAACCUUGAGCGCCUUCCUUUUUAGUACACACCCAAGGCACCAUAAAUGGGAUGGUCUUUAUUAACUACCACCCCCCAUCAGAAAGUAGACUGAUUUCCCUCUUCCUUGUUCCAGCCCAGCAUUGUAGGAAGUAAUGGGAACAGUGUGUGUGCAAAAAGUACCUGAGAAUUAUCUGCCUUUCUACGGUGCUUCAAAGCACAUUUUGAAGGACACAAAUGUAGGCUGAAGCAGCCCACUUUGGCUAUGUGUUCAGCCAAAUUUGUUGCACAACGGCCUGAGCAGGUGUGGGGAGACCAAACAGAGAUGUGCAGUUUGUCCUAUCAGACAGUGCCCCAAGGCAGGCUACUUGAAGAUCUUUGAGAAACUGCACAGCAUUGGAGAUGGAAACAUUUUGCUAUUGAUGCUUGGAGUGAAGCAAGCAGCAAAAA